UGGGAUUCAAUUUAUUAUUUGUAACAUUAAUUUAAAACCGAAAUCCAGCUUUUACUUGUGAAUAUGAUCAUAUGUUCUUAAUUGGAAAUCGGUGGUGAGAGAGCAGCAAAGGCGUCGAUCUGCUGGUUGGAGUUGAACCUCUUUGCUAAGUCCGAAGCAGUAAAAAAGAAGUACUCCAUGAAAUCAAAGUCUUUGUAAAGUUGAGGAUGUUGGUCAUCUAUAAGCUCUUUGGGUGUCUUGAUUAUGGUACCCUUGUUUGGAACGGCAAAAGCUGCUAUAGAAUAUCGAUCUUUAUCUCCACUCAUCAUCACUCUGUGCAUCCCCGAUUUCAAUCUCCCAUUACUCCAAGCCUUCAAUUUCAAAACUCAACAUCAAUAAGUAUUUAUGAUAAUUAUUCACUUUCAACAUCAAUAAUCUAAUCUCACUAUAUCUAUAACCCAAUAUCUUAUGUCAACAUCGGUAAGUAUUUUAUGGUAACUCUUAAAUUAAACUUUUGUAAUCUAAUAAAUAUAGAUUGAGAAGAAAUGUUGUCCAAAGNNNNNNNNNNNNNNNNNNNNNNNNNNNNNNNNNNNNNNNNNNNNNNNNNNNNNNNNNNNNNNNNNNNNNNNNNNNNNNNNNNNNNNNNNNNNNNNNNNNNGGGACAAGGAAUUGCCCCCUCCACCCCCUCCCCACUUAAUUCUAACUUUUAUAUUUUUUAUUCUAUUCACAUAGGCCAUGCACGUAAAAUUUUGAAUAAAUACCUUGAAAGGGUCUCCAACCAUAAAUACAAAGGAAGAAGGAGAUAAAUUAGACAACCUCAACCAUUGGCCGUCCUUGACCUCAAUUUCCAGUCCUGAAAUUUUAUCCUCGCAAAUGAGUGUGCUAAUUGGUUUAUCUGUAUGAGGAAAGAGUCCACUCUCAAACUUCCCCGAUGGAGGGGCCAUGUAUUUCACCAUCCGUAUUAGCGUUGUGUAGCACAUCUUCAGUGAUUCCUCCCCUAAUCCAUAACUAUCAAUUAUCAUUAGCCAGAUUAACUUGUUUAGCUCUUCCAUUUGUGUCGCCAGAGUGUGUACAAUGUCACUGGAAUAAAAUAUCAAAAUACAAAGUCAAUAAUUUGAACUCGCUCAACUCGAACCAGAAAUGAGAUACCAAAUCAACCCAACCUGCAGAAUUAAAAAUGUAAAAGAAUUUUUCUUACCAAAAGUGUGGGUAACCAUCAGGCCACAUAAGUUGAGCAAAGCUUUUAAUAGAAUCAUAGUUGGAGGCAUCUCCAACUCCGAAGCCUUCAUACAACAAAGAAAUCUGAGGGCAUGAUCCAACCCAACCAUGGAAAGGCAUGGGACUAACGUUCUUCUGUUUCCUCUCUACUGGGACUUCAACCAGUUCUUUAAUCAACCUAAAAACCUCUUCUCGAACUUCCGUUGAUAUCUUUUCGUAUACCACCUCAAAAGAGCCGAAAGUCUCGCAAGCCUCACGAACCCUCUUGCACAAACGAUUCCACCCAUCAGUACCUCGCUUCAAAUCCGAUGAACGGAACUCAAUGACUGGGUACUCAAUUUCAGCGUUGACACCCAUGUUCUAGAAUUUUUUGUUAUAUGCUCUAUAUAUGGAAAUGUUCCCUUAAACUAAAUCAGCUUGUAAACUAACUUUGUUUCUCUCUAGGUAGGGAAUUACGUCUAUUUAUAGGCUUAGGGUAGAAAUCCACUGGCUCUUUCCUAUGCCCCUUCCCAUGCUCCGCCUGUUCACUUUUCAUUUAAGAAGUUUGUAAUGUUAUUAAAUUAAAAGGGAAAAAAUAUUUAUUUUUUAAGAAAAUGAAGUGAACAAAAUGAAUUUGAUUGUUUUUAGUGAAAAAUAAGUAUUUUAAUAAUAAACAAUUUUUUUUACUGGUAAGAUUACAUGGAGUUUUUGAUAAGAAUGACAAUAAAUAAUUAGUAUUGGCUCAAACAGAGUUUGACUCGCACAAAUUCAUAUUUAAAAUUUAAUUAUAAAAUUAUAUAAAUGUUAAUAUUAAAUUAUAUUAUUAAUUUGUCAUUUUUUAACAGUAAAUUGAUUCAUUUGAACCGGGUGGGCCGGACUUGAAGUUUUUUUUUUUAAAUCAUGUUGUUGCGGACUUGACUUGACUCUUGAAUACCUUUAAUUUUAUAGUAACGAUGCCAACGUGUUGUGUUCUAAGUCACUUUGCCUACUUGUUAUAUUUAUUAUGCAAUUUAUAUAUAAAAAAUAGUAUAUUAAAAAUGUUAAUUGUUUGGUCUAAUAUUUUAGAUUUAAUAGAAAAAUCAAUUUAUCAAAACUCUAAGUAUGGAACAAUCUUCAACUAUUUCUAUUUUUAUGUUGUAUAAAAUUAAAAUAUUAUGAUCAAUUAAAUUAAAUUGUUUUUAAUUUAUUAUUAAAAUUUUUAUUCUCUUUUCAAUUUUAAAUUUGAAAAAUGAAAUAAGAAAAAACACUAUUUUUUAUAAAGGAAAUACAACUUAUCCUUAUUUUAUUAAGGGGCACAGAUGGGCAGGGGAUUUUCAUCCCGGAAUUACGUCUAUUUAUAGGGGUAGAAAUGCCACCUUUUCCCUUUUCACUUAAGAAAGGUGUAAUGUCAUUAAAGGAAAAGAAAUUAUUUUAUAAAAUGAAGAGAACAAAAAUAAAUUUUAUUGUUUUUAGUGGAAAAAAAGUAUUUUUAAUAACAAAUAAAUUUUUUUAUUGGUAAAAUUACCUUAAGCUUUUGGUAAGAAUGACAAUGUAUAGUGCAAGGUCAGAUGUUUGAUUUUCUUUUUGUGAAUUUAGAUAUUACAAAUUCAAAUGAUAUUCAAAUUUGAAUAUUCUAAUUAUUUUAUGCAAUAUUUCCGAAGUGGAUGUAAAUUUUAACCCUCGAAUAUCCACUAUUAAAAUAUACUUUUGUGAAUAAUUUAUUUAGAUAAGAUAUCCAUCAUCUAAAUCUGCCUUAUUUUUACGGAUGUUCAAUUUUAGAUAUCUAAGUCCCAUUAUCCACUUUACCUUUUUAUUUAUAAACUGCAUAUAUUUAACCGAUUUUAAUAUUCGGUGGAUAAUUUAAUAAGAUUUUAUUCAAAUAGAAAUACUCAAAUUUAACGUGGAUAAUAAAUAUUUUAGAUUUUAAAGCAUAUAUUAAAAUAAAAAUAAUUAGUGUAUAAUUUUCUCCAAUUUUUUGUAAAAUUUAUUUUAUAAUCUAUAAAUUUUCUUUAAAAUCCGAGUAAUUUAUUAUCCACAUUAAAUAUGUGUAUUUCUAUCCAAAACUAAAUUUAUUAAAUCACCCAUCGAAUAUCCAAAUCAGCUAAAUAUAUGCAUUUAGUAAGUAAAAUUAAAAUAAAAUAAAAAAGUUUAAAAUCACAAGUCAUGUUGCAACCCAAAUUUUCUAUUUUUCAUUUUAAUUUAUAUUGUUGACACCAUUUUUUUGAUGAAAACGGGGUCGACUUGGGUUUUGAAAAAUGAAAAUAAAAGUGGGAGUCGCCACCAAUCUUUUUUGAUGAGGUGUGAUCGGGUCACCUCGCAAAAGUGGUUGUUUUUAAUAAACAAUUUAAUUUUAUUAAAACAACAAGUUUGGUCCACGAAAUUCAGAAAAACAGGUUCGGGAGUCGGUUACGUAUGAGGAAGGAUUAGCACCCUCGUAACGCCCAAAAAUUGGUACCAAGUUGAUUAGUUAAUGUCUUAAUGUCGAAGAUUGAAAACUUUAAAGAAAUUUAAAAUACGAUCCUUAAAAAUCUCAAAUGACAUGGAUUAUAAGUCAAGAGGAUAUUUGGCUAUUUGGUUGGACGAGAAAUCGAAACCCAGCACAUUAGGGCACGUUCCUCGAAUUUCUAAACGCAAAACAUUGCCUUAUUUUGAAAUUUUUAAAAGGAUACUUAGCUAUUUGGUUGAGCGAGGAAAAUCGAAACCCAGCACAUUAGGGCACGUUUUCUCGAAUUUUCAAACGCUAAAUAUUGCCUCAUUUAGAAAAAUUUUCCUUUUUGAAGUAUGGUGUUAAUAUGCAUAAUGGAAUAAUAAAUAUGAUAAUGUGAACAAAAAUAAUAUGAGCAAAAACGAAUAAUAAUAAUAAUAAAUCAUGUAUAUACCAUAACAAAUAAAUAAAUAAAUAAUAAACUAAAACAUAAAAAUGGACGUAUGAAUAAAUACAUAAAUGAACAUAAAAAAACAAUAAAGGAAAAUAGAUGAAAAUUAUAAAAUACAGACAUGUGUAUGUACAUAUAAGGGAACUAUAUAUGUAUAUACAUAAAAUUAUGAAAAUAUGAAUAUAUAUAUAUAAAAAUUAUAAGAUAUAAAAAUAUAAGUAUUUACAUGUAUAUGUAUAUAGAUUAUAAAAUGCAAAAAUAUGUAAAAUAAGUAUGUACAUUAUAAAGAUGUAUGUAUGCGCGUAAAUUUAUAAAAAUGUGAAAAAUAUAUGUAUAUGUGUAUUUUAGAAUUAUUAAAUAAAAAAAUAUAUAUAUGAAUAUGUAUACAUAUAUUCGUGAGAAAAAAGAGUACAUAGAUAUACGUAUAUAAAUAUGUAUAUAUAAAAGUAUUCACGUAUAUAUCAAAUAAAUUAUAUAUAAAAUAUAUAUAAGCACUUAUAUAAUACUAAUGAUAAUAUAAUAGGACACAUAUAUUUAAAAUUACAUAAGUAUAUAUAAAUGAACAUAUAAUAAUAAUAACAAUAACAUUAAUAUUAAUAAUAAUAAUAAUAUUAUUAUUAUUAUUAAAAAUAAUGAACUGAAUAAUAAAAAAUACUAAAAACGGUCUAAAUCGAAAUGAAAACAAAAAUACAGGGCCAAUUCGAAAUAAUAAAGAACAAAAAGGAUUAAAUUGCGACACGCGGAAAAAAAGAAGGACCAAAAUAGUAAAUAAGCCAAAGUCUCAAAACGCGGCGCUUCAGUGGACUAAAAUGAAACAAAAAUAAAACUGUGUGAUUAAAUCAAAAUAAAAGAAAAUAACGAAAUAGGACCAAAUUGUAAUGCACUGCAAAAUCAGAGGGACUGCGCACGCAAAUAUCCCCCUUUUAGAAAACACGCGAUCCUCCCCUCGGGUCAGGUCACCGCGCGUGUCAAGGGGGUCUCAAAAUGGCGCCGUUUUUAAUUUGAUAUAAAUAUUAAAAAUAAACAAAAAAAACAGUUUCAACACAUUUUUUUAAAACAGAGAGAAGGCUCUCUCUCUCUCUCUCUCUCUCUCUCUCUCUCUCUCUCUCUCUCUCUCUCGGUUUCUCUUUGGCCGACCUUAAUCGCCGCCGCCGUGACCCAAGACUGGCGAAGUACAAAACGGGCUCUUUAGCCUUCGCCGAAAGGCGUCUUUGAGAGCCGAGCUCUCUCGACCUGCGAGACCCAAGAAAAGAGGUCUUCAAUCCCUCUUAGGGCCCGAAUUGGAUGCGGAGAAGAGGGCCUCUAACGGCGAGGUUGCGGCCGUCCGGUAAAUCCCUUUUUCCCUUUUUUUUAUUUGCUACUUUUGUUUAUGUAUAUGUGUAAGAAAAUAAUCAACGAAAAAAAAAAAGAAAAGAAAAUAGAUCUAUAUCCGAAAGACCAAAGAAUCACCUUGAAUAUCUCUUGCUUCUAUUCUUUUUGAAGUGUUCUUACAAAAAUCUCAGAAAAAAGCCCCCCAAAAUUACAUUUUUUCGGCUUUUAUAGCCGAAUCCUACUGUUUGUUUCUUUGCUUGCCUUUUUUUUUUCUUUGCAGGUGGCGGUGCAAGUGGAUGGGCAGUGAUGGACGCGGAUGGGACGUCUGGCGACGGUGGCGGCAGGCCAAGGGUCAAUAGGUGCAGCGCUUAGAUGCGGCGCUAGGGUUUCUUUUCUGAAACCCUAGCUUGACUUUGGUGAAGUUGGGCCUAUUGGGUUGUUGGGUCUGUUUGUAAUUGGGCUGAGGGUUAAUUGGGUAGUGGGCUGAGGGUUUGGGUUUAAUUGUAAAAGGUUUUGGGUUUUGGGCUAGGCUAGGCUUAGUUGGGCCUCGGGGUUAUAAUGGGUAUUUGGAUUGGGUAGGCUAGGUGGGUAGUGGGCCCGGGCAAAUUGGGCUUGUACAUAUAUUAUAUAAGACAUGAAGUAUUCAUUUAAACGUAGUGAAUCCAACUUAAUUUUUUUUAAAAUCAAGUUAUUUUUUAUCCAAUUUGACUCAUAGAUGUUUGUUUUUUUCACAAAAAAAUAGAGUACUUAAACUAAUUAUAAAACCUAAAUAUCCCUUAAUGGGGAGGCUUCGUAUAAACAUAAACAAUAAAAUCUGUGAUGAGUAAGUUUAACCAAUCUAUUAGCAUCCUGAUUGUCUUCUUUGGGGAUAUGUCGAACAUAUUAUUGUUCAAAUCAUAUCAGCAACUGAUGGAUUCUCCUGAUCAAGAUAGAAUUAGAGCUAAUUGUUGUCCUCUCCUGAAUAGCUUUUAUUACCUCAAGAUUAUUAGUCUUAAUUAAAACGCUAUUAAAAUCAGGAUCACUUAAAAAGGUCAAGCCAUUUAAGAUUUCUCACAAUUCGAUAUUAAAAAUAGAACAAUUCCCGAAAAAUCUAUAGGAGCCAUUCAAGAUUUCUCACAAUUUGAUAUUAAAUAUGGAACAAUUCCCGAAAAAUUUACUGGAGCUCAAAAUUCAUUCUCCUUCACGAUAUAAUAAUGACAACGUAUUGUCUUCUGACUUUGCCUAAUUGAUUGUAUCAUGUUGGUUUUCCUAACCAUUUACAAAAUUAUAAAACAAAUUGAAUUACUGAUUUUUUUAAUAUUUCCGAAAUUGAUUUUUUUUCUAAACCAAAUAAUAUAAAUUAUUUUAAAAGAAAAAAACCCCUGAAGCAAGGAUAUAAAAAAAGGGUCACUAAAAACCAUUGGAAGACGCCUAAACAAGAAAUUGAAAACAAAAUUUCAACUAUUGCAUUGUUAUUGACUAGUGGUCUAAUAAUAAUAAUAAUAAUAAUAAUAAUAAUAAUAAUAUAUUAUUAUUAUUAUUAUUAUUAUUAUUAUUAUUGUCGCCUUCGUCGAUCGUCCACUUGUCUAUUGUUUAUUACAUAACUUUAAUACGUAAUCUUUUGCAAAUGAUUCUGAUGGAGACCCAUAACUUACGUAUAUUUAUAAUAUGCAUGCAAAUUGAGAGCUAACAAGUAACCAUUAACUUACCUGAUAUAUCAAUCAUUCAAAUGGGAGAAAAAGGAAGACAACCUUACUUACAAGGUCAAAAGUAAUAUGUAUUAUAUAUUUGAAAUGGGUUAAAUAAGUUUAAUUUUUUUAAUUUAAAUUUAUUUUUAGUUUUAAUAUUUUUAUCUACACUCUUUUAAAAUUUAAACCAAUUUUCGAAUAACUAAACCCAAAUAAAUCUACUUAAAUCUAACUCUUAUUUUUAUUAUACAAUGCUUAUUAUAUUUAUGAUGUAAUUUAUAUAUACAAAAAUAAAUAUAAAAACUUAAUCUAUCAAAAAAAGUUAGUUGUUUGCCCUAAUAUUUCAGAUUUAAUUGAAAAAUUAAUUUGAAACAAUCUUCAACUAUUUCAAUAAAAAAAUAUUUUUUAUUGGUAAGAUUACAUGGAGCUUUUGAUAGAAAUGACAAUGGAUAGUGCACAUUCAAAUAUUUGCUGACGUUUAACUUGCCAAAAUUGAAAAUUAAGAUAUUGAAAACAAAAUCUAAAAUAUUGCAUUAUUAUUGUCAAAUUGUCCUUUUUUGGGGCCAAUCCACCUCCCUCGUUUAAAGCAUGUUAUUAUUAUAUUAUCAGAUUAUAAAUAUUUGAUUGAAAUGGUUAAUGUUAUUGUAUUCAUAUGAAAAGAAAACUCUAACAUUUACAUAAAAUUAAUACUUAAUCUUUUACGAUUUUUAAAUAAUUAGUAGAAAUAACCUUGAAAAAAAAGUGAUAGCCAUUGAACUCCAUGUGAUGGUUAAUUGUGUUCACCGUUCUAAGUGUGACUUGGGUUUGAGUCAUGUUAGUCGUAUUUGUUGUUCGGGCUUUUACCAUAUUAUUGUAAUUUACAAAAAAAAAAAGAAGAAGUGGUAGCCAUUAAUUCCGCUGAUUCUGAAUUCAGAGAUUUAAAUGCCAAUGGGUUAUAUUGACUAGAAUUGAAUGGUUGUCCUACCAGAUUGAUGCAUCGUCAGUAUAUAAGUAAAUAAUAAUAUGAUAUAUUAUCAUAAAUUAAACAAAAAAUAUGGAGGAUUUAGAAAUAGAUGCUAAUAAUUUUAUUUAAACAUAAUUAAACAUUAAUAGUAACUAUUAUAAUUAAAUAUUAAUAACUUUUGAAUUUAGUAUCUUGGAUAUAAGGGUUUAGGGUUUAAGGUAUUAGAUUUAGGGUUUAGAGUUUUAGCAUUUAUUUAUAUUUAAUCAUUAUUUGAUGAAAUUUAGAUAAAGUUAUUAGAAUUUAUUUAUAAAUCCUCCAUUAUUUUUUUUUGUUGCAUUUAAUUAUGAUAUGUCGUGUUAUUAUUUAACUAAAUGUUGCGUGGGACUUCUGCAUCGACAAUGCAUAAAAUAUUCUUCCAUUUUAAAAUUAGAUAAACUGAAUUAAUUUUUAUAUUAAAAUAAAUAUAAUUGUUUGUGUAUGUAAUAAGUAAACGUAUUAGAAUUGCAAUAUUAGUAAAUGUAAAAUCAAAAGUGCUAUUAUAUUAGAAUUGCAUCAAAUUGAAUUUUUUAUUUUGUAUUGCAUAUUGAAUCAAAAUUUAUGUGUAAUUCUAUAAUUAUUUGUCUAUUUAAUUAUUUGUUUUUUUCAUAUUGCGGAAUUUUAAUAUUAAGAUGUUGAAAAGAAAAUUUCAAACAUUGUAUUAUUAUUAGGCUUAAUAUAACAUUUGGUAUAUGAACUUGACACUUUUUUCCUAAUUUAGUGCAUUGACUUUUUUUUGGGUCCAAUUUGGCACUUGAACUUGACACUCUUUCCUUAUUUAGUACAUGGACUUAACACUUUUCUUAAUUUGGUACUAAAUCUUUCUUGGGUCCAAUUUGGUACUUGAACUUAAUUCUUUUUUCCUAAUUUAGUACCUAAUUAUCUUUUUUUUGUCCCAUUUGAUACCUAAACUUGUCAAAUGUUAUACAAAUUACUCUAAUAUACUAACAACGUUAUUUUUUAUGAGACAACAAAAAUUAUCAAUGUAUGAUUGACAUGUGGCAAAAAACAUGGCAUUUCUUUUGGGUAAACUAAAAAAUGGUCACUAAACUUUUUGAAAUCAAAUAUUUUGGUCACUCUCUCGUUAGUUGUAUUUUUUAGAAUUUUGUAAAUGUCGAGGAUUAAAUUUAUUGAAUUUUUUAGAUUUUGAACGAAAUUAACAAAUUUUGUAAACAUUGUGGGCUAAUUUUUUUAAUAUUUUAUAUUUAGGAUUAAAUUGAUAGAAGUCUAAAUAUUAGAGGGCUAAAUUUGUUAUUAGACCAAUAAAAAAGCCCACAUUGGCUUGUAUUUGGGUAUAUUUGUUAACUAUAUAUGUGUAAAUGGCCUUAUUAUAUAUGGUGUUUGGUUGCCAUGUGAAUGUCUUGAUUGUGAAUUGGUAUUUUGGAUAUCAAAUAGUUGAGUUUUAUAAGUGACAUACAUGUUAAGUUUUAGGCACAAAAAUGCAUAUAUAUAUAUAUGUUUGACCAUUUAGGUAGAUUUUGGAGACAUAUUUGGCAUGUUUAUAGAUGGUCAAUUGAGGUGCCUAUGGGCAUCAUGUUUUUAUGUAUUAAUAUUACAAGUUUUAAGCUUGGUUUUGGUUGGUUUUGUAUGCCUAUUUAUGUCAUGGUUAUAUGCAAAUUGUUGUGUUUUGGUUGGUACCAAAUUGGGUAAGAAAUAUGGCUUACGGAAUGGCUUAUUUUUGUCCAUACGGGCAAAGACAAGAGCGUGUGUCUCAGCUAUGUGUGACACACGACCAAGUGACACCGCCAUGUGUCCCCUGAAAUUUCUAUAGAAAACAAGUCAGUAGCUUCAUACGGCCUAGCACACAGGCGUGUGGCUUGGUCGUGUGACACAAGUUAGUAUACCCUCUAGUUUUUACACGGCCUAGCACAUGGCCUGGCACACGGGCAUGUGAGGUCAUUUCGAAGGGUACAUGGCUUAGCACAUGGACGUGUGGUUUGGCCGUGUGACCCAAGUCAGUGAGUUACACAUGUACAAACAUGGGCUGGGACACAUGGGCUGGGACACCGCCGUGUAUCCCCAUUUCGAAUGCCCAUACAGCCUGAGACACAGGUGUGUCUCUUGGCUGUGUGAGACACACAGCCUGGCCACACAGGCGUGUGUCCCCUGCACCUUUGAAAAAUUUUCAUGUUUUUCGAAAAAUUUCUUGAGUACUCAGUUUAGUCCCGACUUAUUUUUAAUGUCUGUUUUGGGCCUCGAGGGCUCGUAAUAAGGACUAUAUGAUUGAGUUUGAUUGGUUUCUAUAAUGAUAAUGAGAUAUGAAGUUGAAAGGUCUAUUUGUUCGAUUGUAAGUUAGGUAAUGCUUAAUAACCCUGUUCCAGUGUCGGAUACAGGUUAGGGGUGUUAUAGUGUGUAUAGGCUUGGAGGAAAGAUUGGAUAUACAGAGAGCCCGUACAUUGAGACAUGAUAGGAGUCCAAAACCAAAUAUUAUGGAUGAUCAUUUGAAGAUAGUGGAACCAGGAGGAGAGGGCGGGGAAUUUAGGGCAAAAAUAGACGUGGAUUCAUCAAAUCAAAAAAGGAAAAAGAAAAAAAGGCAAGGUAGAAAAGUUCGUUCUAUGCUUGAAUUUCAAUAUUGUUUCCUUACGGUAAUAGAGAAAAAGAAGAGAGAUCGGGCAUUGAAGAGAGAAAAGGGGAAAAGAAUAUCGGAUAGAGAAGAGGCAGUAGUAAAUGCAUCACUUUAUGAUUCUGACAUCAGCAAUAGAAAGAAGUUGAUUCUCGAGGAAGAAAAGAAAUCUUGGGAAGUCAGAAAAAGGUUGGGAUUUAGUAUUAGAGGGGACGGCCAUUAAGUAGUAGAUGAAAUAAUAAGGUUGGAGGGGCUAUAGAGUUGUAAAGCAGAGUGAGUUUCGGGGUUGGGCAGAACCAAAACAAACAAUAUUGAGCAUUUGAUUAUAGAUAUUUGAGAAAGAUAAUUGAGAGUAGGGAAGUGGGUGAGACAGAAAGAUCUUAUGUGCAGAUUAUGUGUGACGUCCAAGCUUAUGCAACUAUUAUUUAAUAGGUAUGGUUUUCGGAUAACUUAGUUUGCCCAUUCUGGUGGUGGCUUUUUGUUUCAAGAUGACAUUAAAUUUUAGAAUGUGAUGUAUAUAAUAAUCAAGUUGAUAUGUGAUUUAAUAGUGAUUUUGUGUGGUUAUGGUUAUUGUGGGGUGGUUUUAACUUGGGAUGAUAGAAGGGGCUGUGGAGAGUUGAGUGACUGAAGGUUUUUGUGUCACUUGCCAAUGAUUAAAAUGGUGGUUUUGUUGCUUGGCUUUAGUUGAAGUGUGUUUGAUGUGAAGUCAAUUUUGAAUUUGAGUUUACUGGUAUAGUUGGAAAUUAAGAGGAUUGUGAGAUAAAUUUUUAUUAAAUUUGAACUGAUUAGUUUUGGUAAAGGGGGUUUUUAAUUUUUGAAAGUGUGCUACUUACUUUCUCUUCAGAUUGUGGUUCUCAAGUCUAAGUCUAGUGGUGUUUUUGAUGGGUAAGGUAUCAAUAUUGUAAUUGCGAUUGAUUGAAUUGAAUUGGUAUCAAGGGAGUGCUGGAAAGUUCAAUCUAGUGUAAGAUAUCAUUGGCCUCUUGGGAAGCAUGCUUGUGGUGCUCAAACUCAUCAUUCAUCCUGUAAAAAGUUAGUGUGGGCUGAUAUCGAUUUAGGAGUCAAGUUGGAAAGUGUGGUUGGCACGUAACGAUAAAGUGUUCGUCAGAGCAUCAACGACUAUUGAUAUAUUGUUGUUUCAUGAUAAAAUGAGAUCUUUGAUGUAGGUAAGAAGGGUCAUGAGGACAUUCAUUUUAUGUGGCUCUUCAUCAACUUCUUAAUUUUUUUUCCCGUUUGAGGGUAUUUUAGAAUAAUAAAUGAUUUCACUUGUCAAUUUGAACCGGUGUUGUCUUAAGUUUUAUAUGUUUUUUUAUUUUUUUUCUAUUGUUUAAUAAGUCUUCAAUUUUAGAAGUUUUUGUAUGUUCUUUUAGCACGUUUUUUAGUCUUUUUUAUGCAUGUAAUCUUAGUUUUACAAGCGAUUUUAGGGAUGAUUUUGUUGUCGUCCUCUCUAGUUUGGUGAAUGCUCGACUCUUUUGUCGAUUUUUGCUCGCCGCUUUAGACCAUCCGGGACUGAUCUCCUUAUCGUAUUAAGUGCUUGCAAUCACUCCAGAUAUGUCAUGCUUGAGUUGUGACAAAGCCAAUUGUCAAUGUGUUAUAAUGUUCUAUUGAUACUGAGGCUAAAGCCUCUGUUGUGUUGAUGGAGCUUGUCCUUUACCAUCUACGAUGAGUGUUUACUAUUUUUUUUCUCUCUGAAUUGUAUGGUUCCAUUCAUUGAAUGAAUUAAUGAAUUUACCUUUAAAAAAUAUAAGUUUUUUUAGAUAAAUAAUAUAAAAAAUACUAAAAAUUAUCGAAAUAACAUGCGUUGUAAAUUAUUUAUCAAAAUAAUACAAAAAUAGGAGAAAAAAAAGGACUGGUGGAGACUCCCAUUUUCGUUUUUUUUUUCAAAAUAAAAAGUCGAUCUCAAAAAGAUUUCGACGGAGGUAACACGUGGACAAGUAGAGAAAUAACACGUGUUGUCGUAUUUAAUUAUUUUUAAAAAACCCUUAAAAUUUUAAAAAUAUAUAUUUAAAAAUUAUAUAUAUAAAUUAAUGUUAAAAAAUACGCUAAACAAUAAACAGUACAGUAAAAAUUUUAGAAAAUUGAGGUAAAAAAGAUCAUUGUAAUUUAAGGCUACUAAUUAGCUCUCAAAUUUGAACUUCAAUGCGUGCAUGGCUUCAAAUCCUCAAGUUCAAUGAGUAGGCGUCUUAAUGAAUCCAUGAGCUGCCAUCUUAUUGAAUUCAUACACCAACAUUACUCAACACAAUAGAUUUAGUAACCUACAGUUACAUGAUUAUAACAAACUAUAACAUGCUAAUACAUUACGAGAAUGCAAAUCCCAAACAUGGGAUUCAAUUUAUUAUUUGUAACAUUAAUUUAAAACUGAAAUCGAGCUUUUACUUGUCGAUAUGAUCAUAUGUUCUUAAUUGGAAAUCGGUGGUGACAGAGCAGCAAAGGCGUCGAUCUGCUGGUUGGAGUUGAACCUCUUUGCUAGGUCCGAAGCAGUAAAAAAGAAGUACUCCAUGAAAUCAAAGUCUUUGUAAAGUUGAGGAUGUUGGUCAUCUAUAAGCUCUUUGGGUGUCUUGAUUAUGGUACCCUUGUUUGGAACGGCAAAAGCUGCUAUAGAAUAUCGAUCUUUAUCUCCAC
rnacentral:lncRNA from 1 species